CCGCCUCGAUUUGUGCAUGCACCUCCACGACAACAGACAGUCUGUCGGUGCAGAUUUUUCAUCAUCUCUUCUUUGGUGUGUCUAAAAGACGAUCAAAAAUUGAAACAUCUGCACCAAAGCCAUAUUAGGGAAGGAGAUGAAGAAGAGUGAAGGAACCAAAAAAUAAGAAAAGAAGCAACGGACAAACCUAAUGCAUGAUGGUCACAGAAUAUCAUUGCAGGUCAUCAAAAUCAAUGCUGUCGAUUCCCUCCAGCUCCAUGGGGAGGAUUGUUCUCUCAAUUAAC
rnacentral:lncRNA from 1 species